rnacentral:misc_RNA from 1 species
GGGAGUUACUGCUCAAAACUUGCUGUUCUAUUUUCUAGUUUUAUCUUCAAUUAAUGGAAGAAAAAAAAAUUGAGAGUAAUAAAUAAGAAUGGGAAUUCGCUCAUCUUUCCAUAGGAUAUGAGUUCGUAAUUAUCUAUAACUAUUAAUGUCUGUAGUGCAUAGCUUGGGAACUUUUACAAUAAAUGGAAUAUACAAAAUUAUGAAAAAUCAUACAUUACCAAGGUCUUGAAAGUGGUUUUUGGUUUUGUUUUGUUUUGGGUUACAAUUAUAGAUUGACCAAAAAAGCAAGGACAUGGGCGUGGUGGAUGAGAUAGAUAAUAAUAUGGUUUAUAGGAAUUCUCUUCCCAUGGCAAACUAUAUUGACAUGAAUACUAAGUGCAAUUUGUAUUAUAGAUUCAAAUUGGCUUCAAGAAGUUUCUUCUUUUCUAUUUCUGGUUGGAUGGCUGGUGUUCAGCUGUAACUCAUCCAUUCAAUCUCCUUGAAGUUUGUGUUGGAUGGAUGAUGAAGAAUUAGCACUAUAAAGGGUGGUGAGAGUCUGAAAUUUUCUUGUCCUCUUAUAGAGUUAGGAACAUGAGAAAUUGAAGAAAGAUAGUAGAAAUUCUAUUGAAAGAUAAAUGGCAGAACAGCCUUCUCAACUCGGUACAUAAGUAUCAAAAUUAGUAUCUCCUUUCGUCCCCUGACCUGGAACAAGUGAAAAAAAAAAAAAUAAUAACAUAUAAGAACCAAACCAGGAGAUAUUCUCCCAGACUAGAAAAUGCCCUAGCUCCAACUUAUAGCUGAAAAAUUAAAGAUAUAAAUUCCUUGCAUUCUCUGCUUUGGUAUCCUUUAUUUAUUCUUGUACUGAUGCCCCUUUCUGUUAGCAUCUCCAGGUGGCAGUGUUUCCCUAAUUCCCUCCAACAGAAAGAAAUUCUCUUUGGAAGCAUCCAAAUGCUUGCUUCCUGAUUCUUUUCCCUUAUCUUCUAUUCCUCCUGUAGUAAACUCUUAAUUGCUUUGGGCCUGUAUCCACUAUUCUCGGGCUUAGGCUGAGUUGCUAUCAUCCUCUAUGUGCCUUUUGGAAACUUUGCACUCUUUGGCCUCAAGUGGAUGCUUCAGUGAAAUUCACUAAGUGAAUACACUUUGAUGAGCCGCUCAUGCCUGGUAGUGCAAGGGAAAACCCCAUUGCUUCUAUGCACUUUGAUGGUCAUUUUUCAACAGGGAAGGAUAUAGAAAUUUUCGUUAGCGGGGGCAUUAUGGAUACAUGUAAAUUUAGAUAUAUAUAAUUUUUUUCAAUCAUGAAAUAAGACAUGAGAUAUGUGGUAGGUUCCAUCUAUUUUGCGUGUUGAGUGCACAUACUUUUAUUGUUGGUCCAUCAUAAAUCGGAUCUAGGCAAAUUAUAUCCAUAAAUUU